rnacentral:rRNA from 1 species
GAAAGAUUAAUAUCCGAUAGCAUAUGUUUCCCGCAUGGGUUUUAUAUUAAAGAAAUUCGGUAUGAGAUGGGGAUGCGUUCCAUUAGUUUGUUGGGGGGGUAACGGCCCACCAAGACUACGAUGGAUAGGGGUUCUGAG